AGAGUUUGAUCCUGGCUCAGAUUGAACCCUUGGCGGCAGGCCUAAUACAUGCAAGUCGAACGGUAACAUGGAAGUAGCAAUACUUUUGAUGACGAGUGGCGGACGGGUGAGUAAUAUUUGGGAAUCUACCUAUCAGAGGGGGAUAGCAACUGGAAACGGUUGAUAAGACCGCGUACGCUCUGAGGAGGAAAGUAAUGGGAUCGAAAGACCAUUAGCUGAUAGAUGAGCCCAAACGGGAUUAGCUAGUAGGCGGGGUAAGAGCCCACCUAGGCGACGAUCUCUAGCUGGUUUUAGCGGAUGAUCAGCCACAUUGGAACUGAGACACGGUCCAAACUCCUACGGGAGGCAGCAGUAGGGAAUAUUGCACAAUGGAGGGAACUCUGAUGCAGCCAUGCCGCGUGUGUGAAGAAGGCCUUCGGGUUGUAAAGCACUUUAGUUUUCGAGAAAGGGUGCUGUUCAAAUAGGGCAGUAUUCAGAUGUUAGAAAAAGAAUAAGUACCGGCAAACUCCGUGCCAGCAGCCGCGGUAAUACGGAGGGUACGAGCGUUAAUCGGAAUGACUGGGCGUAAAGGGCACGUAGGUGGAUAGAUAAGUCACAAGUGAAAUACCCGGGCUUAACCUGGGAUUGGCUCGUGAAACUGUUUAACUAGAGUACGGUAGAGGGGAGUAGAAUUCCAAGUGUAGCGGUGAAAUGCGUAGAGAUUUGGAAGAAUACCGGGAGGCGAAGGCGGCUCUCUGGACCGAUACUGACACUGAAGAGCGAAAGCGUGGGGAGCAAACAGGAUUAAAUACCCUGGUAGUCCCCGCCGUAAACGAUGUCGACCAGGGAAUUUGACCCCUUAAAAGGUGUUGGGUUCCAGAACAAACGAAAUAAGUCGACCGCCUGGGGAGUACGGCCGCAAGGUUAAAACUCAAAUGAAUUGACGGGGGCCCGCACAAGCGGUGGAGCAUGUGGUUUAAUUCGAUGCAACGCGAAGAACCUUACCUGGUCUUGACAUGGCAGUAAUCCUGUAGAGAUACGGGAGUGCCGCAAGGAAACUGCACACAGGUGCUGCAUGGCUGUCGUCAGCUCGUGUCGUGAGAUGUUGGGUUAAGUCCCGCAACGAGCGCAACCCUUAUGACUUGUUGGCAUCAUUAAGUUGGCAACUCAAGUCAGACUGCUGGUGAUAAACCGGAGGAAGAUGGGGAUGACGUCAAGUCAUCAUGGCCCUUACGACCAGGGCAACACACGUGCUACAAUGGGAUAUACAGAGGGAAGCGAGCAGGUGACUGUAAGCGAAUCUCAGAAAGUAUUUCGUAGUCCGGAUUGAAGUCUGCAACUCGACUUCAUGAAGUCGGAAUCGCUAGUAAUCGCAAAUCAGAAUGUUGCGGUGAAUACGUUCCCGGGCCUUGUACACACCGCCCGUCACACCAUGGGAGUGGAUUGCACCAGAAGUAGCCAGCUUAACGAAAGAGGGCGGUUACCUCGGUGUGGAUUAUGACUGGGGUGAAGUCGUAACAAGGUAACCGUAGGGGAACCUGCGGCUGGAUCACCUCCUUUCU
rnacentral:rRNA from 1 species